AAUAUUUUACAAUGGGCUAAAGCCUGAUCCAGCCAUGCCGCGUGUGUGAAGAAGGUCUUCGGAUUNUAAAGCACUUUAAGUUGGGANGAAGGGUUGUAGCUUAAUACUCUGCAAUUUUGACGUUACCGACAGAAGAAGCACCUGCUAACUUGGUGCCAGCAGCGGCGUUAAUACGAAGGGUGCAAGCGUUAAUCGGAAUUACUGGGCGUAAAGAGCGCGUAGGUAGUUCGUUAAGUUGGAUGUGAUAGCCCCGGGCUCAACCUGGGAACUGCAGCCAAAACUAGCGAGCUAGAGUACGGUAGAGGGUGGUGGAAUUUCCUGUGUAGCGGUGAAAUGCGUAGAUAUAGGAAGGAACACCAGUGGAGAAGGCGACCACCUGGACUGAUACUGACACUGAGGUGCGAAAGCGUGGGGAGCAAACAG
rnacentral:rRNA from 1 species